GACGAACGCUGGCGGCGUGCUUAACACAUGCAAGUCGAACGGAAAGGCCCCUUCGGGGGUACUCGAGUGGCGAACGGGUGAGUAACACGUGGGUGAUCUGCCCUGCACUUCGGGAUAAGCCUGGGAAACUGGGUCUAAUACCGGAUAGGACCACGGGAUGCAUGUCCUGUGGUGGAAAGCUUUUGCGGUGUGGGAUGGGCCCGCGGCCUAUCAGCUUGUUGGUGGGGUGACGGCCUACCAAGGCGACGACGGGUAGCCGGCCUGAGAGGGUGUCCGGCCACACUGGGACUGAGAUACGGCCCAGACUCCUACGGGAGGCAGCAGUGGGGAAUAUUGCACAAUGGGCGCAAGCCUGAUGCAGCGACGCCGCGUGGGGGAUGACGGCCUUCGGGUUGUAAACCUCUUUCAGCAGGGACGAAGCGCAAGUGACGGUACCUGCAGAAGAAGCACCGGCCAACUACGUGCCAGCAGCCGCGGUAAUACGUAGGGUGCGAGCGUUGUCCGGAAUUACUGGGCGUAAAGAGCUCGUAGGUGGUUUGUCGCGUUGUUCGUGAAAACCGGGGGCUUAACCCUCGGCGUGCGGGCGAUACGGGCAGACUGGAGUACUGCAGGGGAGACUGGAAUUCCUGGUGUAGCGGUGGAAUGCGCAGAUAUCAGGAGGAACACCGGUGGCGAAGGCGGGUCUCUGGGCAGUAACUGACGCUGAGGAGCGAAAGCGUGGGGAGCGAACAGGAUUAGAUACCCUGGUAGUCCACGCCGUAGACGGUGGGUACUAGGUGUGGGUUUCCUUCCUUGGGAUCCGUGCCGUAGCUAACGCAUUAAGUACCCCGCCUGGGGAGUACGGCCGCAAGGCUAAAACUCAAAGGAAUUGACGGGGGCCCGCACAAGCGGCGGAGCAUGUGGAUUAAUUCGAUGCAACGCGAAGAACCUUACCUGGGUUUGACAUGCACAGGACGCCGGCAGAGAUGUCGGUUCCCUUGUGGCCUGUGUGCAGGUGGUGCAUGGCUGUCGUCAGCUCGUGUCGUGAGAUGUUGGGUUAAGUCCCGCAACGAGCGCAACCCUUGUCUCAUGUUGCCAGCGGGUAAUGCCGGGGACUCGUGAGAGACUGCCGGGGUCAACUCGGAGGAAGGUGGGGAUGACGUCAAGUCAUCAUGCCCCUUAUGUCCAGGGCUUCACACAUGCUACAGUGGCCGGUACAAAGGGCUGCGAUGCCGCGAGGCUUAGCGAAUCCUUUUAAAGCCGGUCUCAGUUCGGAUCGGGGUCUGCAACUCGACCCCGUGAAGUCGGAGUCGCUAGUAAUCGCAGAUCAGCAACGCUGCGGUGAAUACGUUCCCGGGCCU
rnacentral:rRNA from 1 species